UACGGAGGGUGCAAGCGUUAAUCGGAAUUACUGGGCGUAAAGCGUACGUAGGCGGUUCGUUAAGUUAGAUGUGAAAGCCCCGGGCUUAACCUGGGAACUGCAUUUAAAACUGGCGAACUAGAGUUGAGUAGAGGGGAGUGGAAUUUCAGGUGUAGCGGUGAAAUGCGUAGAGAUCUGAAGGAACACCAGUGGCGAAGGCGACUCCCUGGACUCGAACUGACGCUGAGGUACGAAAGCGUGGGUAGCAAACGGGAUUAGAUACCCCAGUAGUCC
rnacentral:rRNA from 1 species